AACGAACGCUGGCGGCAGGCUUAACACAUGCAAGCCGAGCGCCCAGCAAUGGGAGCGGCGGACGGGUGAGUAACACGUGGGAACAUGCCUUUCGGUACGGAACAACGCAGGGAAACUUGCGCUAAUACCGUAUGCGCCGGAAACGGGAAAGAUUUAUCGCCGAAAGAUUGGCCCGCGUCUGAUUAGCUUGUUGGUGAGGUAACGGCUCACCAAGGCUUCGAUCAGUAGCUGGUUUGAGAGAGCGACCAGCCACACUGGGACUGAGACACGGCCCAGACUCCUACGGGAGGCAGCAGUGGGGAAUCUUGGACAAUGGGGGAAACCCUGAUCCAGCCAUGCCGCGUGAGUGAUGAAGGCCCUAGGGUUGUAAAACUCUUUCGGCGGGGACGAUAAUGACGGUACCCGCAGAAGAAGCUCCGGCUAACUUCGUGCCAGCCGCCGCCGUAA
rnacentral:rRNA from 1 species